rnacentral:hammerhead_ribozyme from 1 species
AUCCAGCCGACGAGUCCCAAACAGGAUGAAACGCGUGUCCUGGAU